CCCCGGGUUGGGCUGGAUUUUAAGGAGGAGGGUAUUUCACAGGGUGGCUUGGCCUGUGGCUGCAAAGCCUGGAACUAGGCCAAAUUGAUGACCAAGUGAGCCCCACCCGAGAGGAAACAAGGGAAAAAAGCAGCAAAAGUACAGAAGCAGCCCUAGCUGUUCAGUAUACGGCCUUGGGCCAAAACCUGGAGUCCAGGGUAGGACUGGGUUCUCCCACCAUCCCUAAGGAAGGGGACAUAGAAGACCAUAGAAACCCAAGAAGGGCAGAUCAAGCUGAAAUCAGGCUGAGGAAGAGCUCCCCACGAGGGUGGAAGGCCUUGUUUCUGUUCAAGACGUUUUUGGACUUUGUUUGGAAGGAGCGUGACCCGGGUAGGAGUGGACUAAAGGACAGUCACCUGGCUGGAGGGCUGAGUUCCCAGCCAACAAACUGCAAGAGUGACUAUCAACGGGGUGUGAGACGAGGCCUGGCCAGGAUCUAGCGGAGAUGUCUAGUGAACUGCCCAUGGACUCUGUGCCCAGCACCACUCCAAAAUUAUUCGCUACCUUCAAAGAAACAGGGCACUGCUCAGCCUGUUAGUUUCUGUCCCAGCCUCUUACACAGAUGUAUGCUGCAGCCAGCCCAGCUCAGAAGGCAGUGCGGACAGAUGAUCUCAUCCCGUCAAACCAAGCAAUACGGGUCCCAUUGAGGCUUAGAUGGAAGAUCCCAUUCAUCUCCUGGAGAGGAUGUGUCCGGGAUCCUGGAGACUGUUUCCUGCAGGAGGUUUGAGCGGUAAAUGUUGAUUUCACUUUGCACACACAAACUGAUGAAAAAACGUUUCCAUUGAUAAGAACUGAAAUUGACAAAUAGGAACAGUAAGAAAAAUGCUGCUUGAGAACUUACUAGAGUGUAAUUUAAGGAUAUUUACUUCACAUGUUUUGACAUGAGAUGUUGACAAUUUGUGUUUUAACAGUUACACUUUUUAACUUUUUGAAUUUUUGUGUCUACUGUCCUAAAAUAAUUGUCUGACUAAAAUAUUGUCUGACCCCCCCCCAAUU